rnacentral:rRNA from 1 species
UUGCCACCAUUCAGUUGGGCAACUCUAAGGAGACUGCCGGUGUUAAACCGGAGGAAGUGGGGAUGACGUCAAGUCCUCAUGGCCCUUAUAUCCAGGGCUACACACGUGCUACAAUGGCCGGUACAAAGGGUCGCAAUACCGCAAGGUGGAGCUAAUCCCAAAAAGCCGGUCUCAGUUCGGAUUGGAGUCUGCAACUCGACUCCAUGAAGUCGGAAUCGCUAGUAAUCGCGUAUCAGCAUGACGCGGUGAAUACCGGUUCCCGGGCCUU